CGGUUCGGCCUCCAAGGCAUCAAGAGCGAGAUCGUCGGAUCUCACUCUCUCGAAUCCGCCUACCAAUCGGUCUGCAGAAAGAUUGAUGGUUGUCCAGAUUGGACUAGCGUUCUGGAACGUGUAUCUGAAGGUGUUGGUGUCUGCUACAUGCACGGAGAUGGUUAUGCCCCUGUCCAGUAGUCCAGAUACAAGCAUGAUUCCUACGUAUGAUUUUAAUUUUCCUGCUUUCCAAGAGGAGUGCUAGACUGAUUUCAAAGUCAAUCCAAGACCAAGGUGGAUAACAACUGAAUUUGGUGGGAAAGUAAGACAUCGCUGCGAUAUGUAUUUAUUUAUUUUAUAUUGAAGGUUUGCAGCAUG